GGACUAUAUCUCAGUGGCAGAGCAUCUGAUUUGAAUGCAGAAAGUCACCGGUUCAAUCCCUGGCAUCUCCA